rnacentral:tRNA from 1 species
GGAGAUGGCUGAGCAGGUAGAGUGCAGGACUUGCACUCCUGAGGUCCCAGGUUCAAUACCUGGCACCA